rnacentral:rRNA from 1 species
AUGAAGAAAAUAAGGGCGUACAGUGGAUGCCUUGGCACUAAGAGCCGAUGAAGGACGCAAUUAACGGCGAUACGUCAUGGGUAAUUGUAAAUAAAUGAAGAUCCAUGAAUUUCCGAAUGGGGAAACCUACUAUAAUAAACUUAUAGUUUUUUUGAUGUUAAAGUCAAAAAAGGGAACGCAGUGAACUGAAAUAUCUAAGUAACUGUAGGAAAAGAAAGUAACAACGAUUCUGGUAGUAGCGACGAGCGAAACCGGAAGAGCCUGAUACGAAUUACUAGUUAUAAAAUUUUAAAAAACUCGAAGUUUUUGGAAAGAAACAUCAAAGAAGGUUAUAAUCCUGUAGAGGUAAUUUAAAAUCUAGCGUAUCAAAAAGUACGGCGAGACACGAGAAAUCUUGUCGGAAUAUGGGAGGACCAUCUCCUAAGGCUAAAUACUCCUUAGUGACCGAUAGUGAACUAGUACCGUGAGGGAAAGGUGAAAAGAACCCCGGGAGGGGAGUGAAAUAGAUCCUGAAACUGUAUGCCUACAAUUAGUCAGAGCUCGUUAAUGAGUGAUGGCUUGCCUUUUGCAGAAUGAACCGGCGAGUUAUGAUAUAGAGCAAGGUUAAGUUUUGAGGAACGUAGCCAUAGCGAAAGCGAGUUUUAAUAGAGCGUUUAGUUGUAUGUCAUAGACCCGAAACUGAAGUGAGCUAGCCAUGAGCAGGUUGAAGUUUAGGUAAAACUAAAUGGAGGACCGAACCAGGACACGUUGAAAAGUGUUUGGAUGACUUGUGGCUAGGGGUGAAAUUCCAAUCGAACUCAGAGAUAGCUGGUUCUCCCCGAAAUAGCUUUAGGGCUAGCGUUGAUUAUAAUUUUUUUUGAAGGUAGAGCACUAAAUGAGUGAUGGUUCCACCUCGGGAUACUGACCUCAAUUAAACUCCGAAUGUCAUUAAAAUAAAAUCAGCAGUCAGACUAUGGGUGAUAAGGUCCAUAGUCAAAAGGGAAAGAGCCCAGACCGUCAGCUAAGGUCCCUAAAUUAAUGUUAAGUGGAAAAGGAAGUGAAGAUGUUCAGACAACUAGGAAGUUGGCUUAGAAGCAGCCAUCUUUUAAAGAGUGCGUAAUAGCUCACUAGUCAAAUGACUUUGCACCGAAAAUGUACCGGGGCUAAAACAUUAUACCGAAGCUACGGAUAAAAAUAUUAAAAUAUUUUAUAUGGUAGGGGAAGCGUUCUGAUUUCAGUGAAGUCAUAGCGUAAGCAGUGGUGGAGAGAUCAGAAGUGAGAAUGCCGGUGUAAGUAACGAAAAGAUAGGUGAGAAUCCUAUCCGUCGAAAACCCAAGGUUUCCAGGGGCAGGUUCGUCCUCCCUGGGUUAGUCAGGUCCUAAGAUGAGGAAGAAAUUCGUAGUCGAUGGCAAGCAGGCUAAAAUUCCUGCACUAAAAAAACAACUGAUGGAGGGACAAAGAAGGAUAAGCACGCCUUUUAUUGGAUUAAGGUAGAAGAACCAAGUUUGAGAAAAUAGGCAAAUCCGUUUUCUUAUUCCAAAAAAUGAGGUUUGAAGGUAAAGUGACUGAUUUCAUACUUUCAAGAAAAGCUUCUAGGGUUAAUUGUUUUUUUACCUGUACCGUAAACCGACACAGGUGGGAAGGUAGAGUAUACUAAG